UACGUAGGGUACGAGCGUUGUCCGGAAUUAUUGGGCGUAAAGAGCGUGUAGGCGGUUUUACAGGUCCGCUGUGAAAACUCGAGGCUCAACCUCGAGCUGUCGGUGGAAACCGUAAGGCUAGAGUCCGGAAGAGGAGAGUGGAAUUCCUGGUGUAGCGGUGAAAUGCGCAGAUAUCAGGAAGAACACCCGUGGCGAAGGCGGCUCUCUGGGACGGUACUGACGCUGAGACGCGAAAGCGUGGGGAGCGAACAGG
rnacentral:rRNA from 1 species